AUUGAACGCUGGCGGCAUGCCUUACACAUGCAAGUCGAACGGCAGCACGGGAGCAAUCCUGGUGGCGAGUGGCGAACGGGUGAGUAAUAUAUCGGAACGUGCCCAGUCGUGGGGAUAACGUAGCGAAAGCUACGCUAAUACCGCAUACGAUCUAUGGAUGAAAGCGGGGGAUCGCAAGACCUCGCGCGAUUGGAGCGGCCGAUAUCAGAUUAGGUAGUUGGUGAGGUAAAGGCUCACCAAGCCGACGAUCUGUAGCUGGUCUGAGAGGACGACCAGCCACACUGGGACUGAGACACGGCCCAGACUCCUACGGGAGGCAGCAGUGGGGAAUUUUGGACAAUGGGCGCAAGCCUGAUCCAGCAAUGCCGCGUGCAGGAUGAAGGCCUGGUUGUAAACUGCUUUGUACGGUAACGAAACGGUAGAGGCUCUAAUACAGUUUGCUAAUGACGGUACCGUAAG
rnacentral:rRNA from 1 species